ensembl:lncRNA
AUGCCCAUUUCGUGUGCGUAUCCUGGGUGCUUUAAUAUUAAAAAGCCUAAAAGAAAAUUUUCUUCAGGACAGAAAUUUUUCAAGCGUGACCUUUUAAACGUAAUUGCGUAUUACGUGACGUCACGAACGCGCAUCACAGAACAGAGCAAGGCGAAGCCAACAAGUCUCCUGCAAGAAAAAAAAAGGCGCGCGGCACACAGCUCAGCAGCGUCAUUUUCAGGUGACGUCAUCCCGCAAUGUGAUGUCGCUCUUUCUUUCUUUAGGAGGAGGUUUGUUUUUUUGGUGAAAUGGUUCGCUCAUACUGCACAAUGUUGCUACCAGAAAACAUUUUUUCUCUGCAAUUCGAACGUAAAACGUCUGUACACAGUUUACCAGCAACCAAUCAACAGCGAUCACACAAACUCAAAAUUUAAGGCGGACCCACUUAAGGUGGUCUGAUAAUAUGGCGUGAAACAUAACAUAAAGUUGUUUUAAAAUAAUAAUUAAAAAAGAUUAUUGAAAUCAAUUUUAUUCACAACCAUGAACUUUAUUUUAAACAUCUUCUUUUGCUGUUGAUUUUUUUAUCAGAAGGUUAACAAUGAUAUACUGCAGGCCUAACUUUUAAUCUGUAUAUCAGUAUCUGAAUUUUAAAAUAAAAAAUACUAUCAAUUUUAUUGUCUUUUACUG